rnacentral:rRNA from 1 species
GACGAACGCUGGCGGCGUGCUUAACACAUGCAAGUCGAACGGAAAGGCCUGCUUUCCCUUGUGGAUUGCGGGUACUCGAGUGGCGAACGGGUGAGUAACACGUGAGUGAUCUGCCCCCAACUUGGGUAUAAGCCUGGGAAACUGGGUCUAAUUCCCGAUAGGACUGCAGGGUGGUGCCUGUGGUGGAAAACGAUUUUCUAGUGGUUGGGGAUGAGCUCGCGGCCUAUCAGCUUGUUGGUGGGGUAAUGGCCUACCAAGGCGGCGACGGGUAGCCGGCCUGAGAGGGUGGACGGCCACAUUGGGACUGAGAUACGGCCCAGACUCCGACGGGAGGCAGCAGUGGGGAAUAUUGCACAAUGGGCGGAAGCCUGAUGCAGCGACGCCGCGUGGGGGAUGACGGCCUUCGGGUAGUAAACUCCUUUCGACCGCGAGGAAGCCACCUGGUUGGAAGGGUGGUGACGGUAGUGGUAGAAGAAGCACCGGCUAACUACGUG